AGACCAUAUAGGGCGAGUGGUCGCAUGGUGUCUCCCGGAGAAAACCUUGCGUAAAAUACUGAGGUAGCCAUUUUUCCAAUAGUUUCUUAUGAGAAACCAACUGCCUCGACGGAUAUAUUAUCGAAUACAUAUGUUAAAAACACCUUGAGGAUGGAUCCUAAACAACGUUUGCCGUGUUUCUGUCGAUAUUAUGGAGUUAAUUUUGAAAAAAGUUUGGCGUUGUAAUGGUAGCAUUUUCCGGUCGAUUUCUCAGCCAAGCAUGAUGAACAAACGGGAGCUAUUUCGCCUACAAAAAUAAUAUUUUUGGAAAAAAGGAACAUUUGCUAUCUAACUGGGAGUCUCCUGAGUGAAAGCAUCCGAAGUUCUUUAAAGUGGCAGGGACUGGGAGACUAGUCGGGAUUGACGGAAAGAUGAACGGAGCAAAGUACAGAGAGAUCCUAGAGGAAAACCUGUUCCAGAGCACUGAGGACCUCAGACUGGGACGAAGGACGUGAACCAGAGUCCUCCACCUCUCCUCUGACAGGACGUGAACCAGAGUCCUCUACCUCUCCUCUGACAGGACGUGAACCAGAGUCCUCUACCUCUCCUCUG
ensembl:lncRNA